CUCUGUGGAAGAUUGGGAGAGAAGCCAAGGGAAGGGAGGUUAGGAGGAGGGAGCUGCCUCAGAAUAGGACAGGUCUCCUCAGCUCACGCAUGCAGGGACCUCUACUCACAGAGGACUGGUCCUGGUUCAGAUUUUGCUGAGGACUGGGCAUCAGAGCGAGAAGGAGGUUUCUGGAUGAACUGUACUAACUGACCCAAGAGGAGACCCCAGAGGAAAGAAAAGCUGGUGGAGGUGCCUGGCUCGGUGGCCUAUUGAGAAAGAGCUGUCCCUGAGGAGCCUGAUGGGCGUCCUGGGGCUGGGGAAGCAGACAGAGGUCCUGAAAGGACAGUUGUCAGGGCAGCUACACAAAGGCCAUCACCAGGGUCUAGCUGGAACACAGUGGGGGAAAUCCCCCAGAGGUCUGAGAACAGUAGCCUGCAGUACUUUCUUUACCUUCUUCUAGGUCAGUGAUUGUCAAAAUGUGGUCCCUGGACCAACAGCAUCACUUGAGAAUUUAUUAAAGCUGCAGAUUAUUUGGGCCUCACUCCAGAUCUUCUGAAUCAGAACCUCGGGGGCUGGAGCCCAGUGAUUUAUAUUUUUGCAAGCUCUCCAGAUGAUUCCGAGGCACUCUCACAUUUGAAAACCAUUGCUGUGGGACAAGUGUUCCUUCUCACGAUGUCCUGUGGAAGGCAGGAUGCAAAAGUUGGCUAAGAGACGGGCCAGCUGAAUUCCCCCCCCAGCGCCUACUAAAGAGAAGCAGGGGUUGGAAAUUUAGAUGGCUUUGAGCCAGAAGUCAACUGUGAAUGUCUGAACAUUUCUUAGAGACCUCUAAUGAGGCUGGAUUCUGCUCCAAAGAAGCUGUUCCUUAGAGGUCAGUUUGAAGCUGAACUGAACACAACCACCAACAAAAAUAAAGGAGUUUGCCUAUGUGCUGGAGGGGAUUUCUCCACAGAA